ACAACCAGAGAACAGCAGGGCAA
rnacentral:piRNA from 1 species